GCGGUGGAGCAUGUGGUUUAAUUCGACGCAACGCGCAGAACCUUACCGUGGGUUUGACAUCUCGGGAAUCUUGUGGAAACACGAGAGUGCCCUUCGGGGAGCCCGAAGACAGGUGCUGCAUGGCUGUCGUCAGCUCGUGUCGUGGGAUGUUGGGUUAAGUCCCGUAACGAGCGCAACCCUUGUCCUUAGUUACCAGCACGUAAUGGUGGGCACUCUAAGGAGACUGCCGGUGACAAACCGGAGGAAGGUGGGGAUGACGUCAAGUCAUCAUGGCCCUUACGGCCAGGGCUACACACGUGCUACAAUGGUCGGUACAGAGGGUUGCCAAGCCGCGAGGUGGAGCUAAUCUCACAAAACCGAUCGUAGUCCGGAUCGCAGUCUGCAACUCGACUGCGUGAAGUCGGAAUCGCUAGUAAUCGUGAAUCAGAAUGUCACGGUGAAUACGUUCCCGGGCCUU
rnacentral:rRNA from 1 species